ACGUACCGGACAAACGUUAUUCGGAAUCACUGGGCUUAAAGAGUGCGUAGGCGGCUUUACAAGUUGGGUGUGAAAUCCCACGGCUCAACCGUGGAACUGCGCUCAAAACUGUAAGGCUUGAGGGAGACAGGGGUGAGCGGAACUGAUGGUGGAGCGGUGAAAUGCGUUGAUAUCAUCAGGAACACCGGUGGCGAAGGCGGCUCACUGGGUCUCUACUGACGCUGAGGCACGAAAGCUAGGGUAGCGAACGGG
rnacentral:rRNA from 1 species